UGAACAUUCAGCCAAAACAUCAGGCACAGUCCAUGAACUGGUAUAUAAUUCAUGCACUGACCAUUUCUCCUUCCAAGUCAAGUGAACAUCCAGGUACACUGUCCAAAAUUCUGCCCAAUGGGAGGAUUUCCAUUCAUGACUGUCCUUCAGGGGGUCCCAGAGAUGAGCUGUAGAGCUGCAACUGUCUCCUUUUGAGAGGUGCCUGCAUAUCACGCCAAACUAUCUGUAAGCCAGGCCCAAGUCUUCUCUUCCUCUGUCAAUUGAUCAUAGGGAACUCCCCAUGAGGCCAUGGGUGCAGGCUGGGAGAGAGAAGGCAUUGCGGCAGGAGUGGAGACCAGGGACAUCUUGGAGAUAAGCUAAAUGUUGCAAUACCUUUCUACUCCUUUUCUCUUUGAAUUCAAGAUGAUCCCUGACGCUGUGCUGUCAAGUGGUUAGCCACGUGUAUUGUACCCGUAUCACCAUUACUGCUCAUAUAAACAAGACUUUUACUUCACUUUAAGCUGCAUUCUUUACCCUCUUAUCUCCUGGAUUUUUUAAAAUUGUUUUUUGUGUUGUGUUAGUGUUUGCUUCCAUGAGGAGACCAUGUGAUGGUGGAGAGGCAUGGACAAAAUCACCACUGCCAUGGAGGAACACGUCUGAUUAGUUGGGAGAACAGCCUUGUCUUGAGCAGUUCUCCGCUGGGCAGGGAGCAGGAUUUUGAGACCCGGGGGCUAGGCCUGGUACCAGGAGAAGAAUGGAGCCUCAAGGAGAAAGGAGUAGAAAGCCCCAGUCAAAAUUUGACUGGGCAGACAGGCUCAGAGAGUUCACCUUACCUGGCCAUCAAGUCCAAGCUCUGGAGGGAGACUCAAAAGCUGGAGAAAAGAACCCUGAGUCAGUACCUGAAUCCAGCCAACCAAUGGGCAAAACUGACCGAGCAAGUCAAGCUGCUGAAAACGUCCUUGGAGUGUCCCUGGUUACUUCCCGUGGCCACAGCCUGGCUGUACCUCUCCAGGACACACAGUGGACUGUGAUGCUACCGAGUACUACGUAGAGAUAUCCACUGUCCUAAAGUUGGAGGCUAUCAUUCCUAAGCGAUGAGCAAGCACCUAGUGAAGCUGCAAAUGCGCGAUCUCCAUGACUUUGUGAUUUGCCUUCUAGGUAUCUAUUUUAAAGGAACUCUCACACAUGUGCACGAGAGACAUUUUUAAGAAACUUAAUCACAGCAUUGUUCAUCGCCGUGAAAAAAUGUGACUAACAUAAUAGCCCUCAGUAGAGGGAUGAAUAAAGAAACCCUGGUUUAGUCAUACAAUGCAACCCUAUUUGUCAGCUGAAAAAAUGCCUUGGAGCUUAUGAACUGCAGAAG
rnacentral:lncRNA from 1 species